AAUUUUUCACUGAAAAUACAAUUUUUUUUAUAUCAAAACAAGUUUUAUCAAUGAAGAAUUCGAACUUUUUACGUCAUCAAUUAAAUUGGACUAAUAUUACAAUAACAUCGGGAUCGAAGUCGGGCUCGAUGAACAAUUAAUUUUAACAACACCGAAAUUCAAAAAUAUCGAAUACCAUGUUGAUGUUCCACAGUAGGAAAGUUGGAAUGAGUGUCACGAACAGGGGGAUCAUGGUCAGCUUGGGAUGGAAGAAGAUGACGACAUUUUUAAGACCGUUGCUGCAUUGCCUGAGAUGAUUUUCACAGCCCUGGCCUUUGAUAAAAGUGCAUAUACAUGUAGAUGCUUAACCAAUCAGUCACUAGGCUUGUGAAUAUGGAAUCCGGAUGCUCACAAGAGUUAGGACAAGAACUGUAUAAAAAAAAUGAAAUUGUGCAAGGGAAGUUUGAAGUGUCUGUUUGAAUGAUCAACAUCGAACUUGCUGAGCCUUCGUACUAAAAGUGAAUCCGUUGGUGAUGCCAAAUAUCUGUCAACCCUCUAUUGCAAAUU